GCACGUGCCAGUGUUAUCAUGUUAGCCCGUAAAGGCCCCGGCAGACGCUGCCCCGAGGGUCCCGCUGUAGAGGCCUAGCUGAGCCCUCUCUCUUUCUCUGUCAUCCACACAUCCCACCGGCUCCCGCGGGCCUCCACCGCACCGGCGUAACCAUUAGGCCGCCGCAUUGAUCUCCGCUCCCUCGAAUAAUGGGAGCGGCUAAACACACACAAUGCGAGCGUCGCCUACUAAGGCGCUUAGUUCUGCCGCGGCCAGCGUUGAUGCAAUUAACGCAUUAUUUAGCGGGAUCAGCGAUUAGAACACCGCACAAUUCGACUCUCGCCGCGGCACAAUACGGGACGCCGCCAUUUCCCCUCGGCGUGGAAGACGGAUUACACGGCGAGGGGAGCGACUGUGACGAAAACCCGCGCCACUAAAUGCUCGUGAAAGGCCCCCUUGUUAAGGCAUCGAUCCGAACCUGGCAAUCAUGAAGGCAUUCACGACAAUCUACGAGUUCUUAGCGACGCCUCAUGAAAGUUGCUGUGACAGGGUGUAAAAUGGUGACGCAAGGCAGACACACGGGCGGAAUCACAGAAUAUCUACUAGAAGUUGCCACGUGGAAACUGUGGUUCCAUGAGGACGACUGUGAAGGCCAAGGCAUUGCUAAGUGGGGCCCGAGUCACAAAAACCCCACAAAAACUCUACCGCAGUGACCUGGAAGAUGACAGACCACACAAGAUAAUAAGUGAUAAAAAAAAAAAAAAAAAA